AUGUCUACUUGGUGCCCAGAUGUUUGGUCAAACUUUCAUUCAGAUGUUGCUGCGAAGGUGUUUUUCAGAUGUGAUUAACAUUUAAACCAGUAAAGCAGAUUACCCUCCAUAAUGUGAGUGGGCCUCAUCUAAUCAGUUGAAGGUCUUCAGAGAAAAGACUGAGGUCCCCGGAGAGAGGGAAUUCUGCUUCCAGGCUGCCUUUGGACUUGAGCUGCAGCGUCAGUCUCAGCCUGCUGGCCCGCCCUGCACAGUUUGGACUUGCCAGUCCCCACAAUCACGCGAGCCAAUUUUUAAAACUCCUCUGGCAGCUACGUGUGGCCGUUCAAGUCUGGCAACUGCGAUGCAGAAGGACGUGAUGCACGGAGCCCCUGGGGAAGAACUCGGAGGACGGUGGGCCGGGUGAACCCGGGACCUGUCCCCCUGUCCCCAUCCUUUGGUCGGAAUGAUGCCCUGGAGAUGAGGACACUGAGGCACACAGGAAAUAAAUCCUCAUGCUGUGCUGCCUUCCAUGACAAAUCAUCUAAAUCACUCCCAAGCUGCUCCCCUGGAACUCCUUCACCCAGGUGGGAAUCACCACCUUUGAGGUGGGAUGAAGGGACAUCUGUAAGGCCUCUCAUCUCAUCCAC